CAGGAGUGGGCCAGGAGAGGAGUGGAGUCUGCAGAAACCGGGCAGAGUACGCGAUGUCUCGUGCCGCGUUGCGGCGCCGCGCUCCAGGGGCCAAGAAGGCCGAGGCUGGGGGACCCAAGAGACUUGAAUCCACCUUGCGGGGUUUUGGAGGCAAGAUCUGCUCAGCGGUCUGAAAACGGAUCUUGCCUACGCAGAGCAAAAUCAGUUGGUGAUUAUAUCCACGAAAAUUCCUUCUAUUAAAAUGAAUUUCAAGUCCCACCUGCUUUCUGUGGAAGCAGAGAGAGAAGAGAGAAAAGAGAGAUAAGUAGAAGAAGAGAGAAAACAAAGAGAAAAAAGCGAAGAGAAAUGACAAGAAAAGGAAGGAGGGAAGGGAAGACGGGAAAGGAAAAGAAGAAAAAGAAGGAAGGAGAAGUUUUAGGAAUUGAAUUAACACACGUUCGAAUUGUCUGUGAACAGGAUGCAAGCGAAAAUGUGAAAUGCAAAACCCUCCCAGGGUGGAAUGUGCAAUUUCUUGUCAAUGCCCCACAGAAAAUAAAUGCUUUUCAUUUCUAGUCCCCAUUAACUCCAGAGGGUGACAGUCAACCCUCUGUUCAAUUCCAGAGACUUUCCUAGGGACACCACGUUGGGCAUGAAGGACUAAAGCCACUAUGAAGAUACGUUAACCAACUGUUUCUUUAAAAAACAAAAAAGAGGAAAUAACUUUCAAAAGUAGUCACAAAUGACUUAGUUUUUGUUGUUGUUUUGAGGAGUCUCCCUCUGUCACUCAGGCUAGAGUGCAGUGGCAUGAACUCAGCUCACUGCAGCCUCUGCUUCCUGAGUUCAAGUGAUUCUCCUGCCUCAGCUUCCAGAGUAGCCACCACGCCUGGUCCAACUUGGUUUUUCUAUGCUUUUUAAAAUUUUAAGACAGGGUCUUUGUCACUCAGGCUGGAAUGCAGUGGUGCAAUCAUAGCUCACUGCAACCUUGACUUCCCCGGGUCCUGGGCAACUCCUGUCUCAGCCUCCCAAGUAGCUGGGAGUAAAGGCCUGUGCCUCUGCACUGUGCUAAUUUUCUGUUGUUUAUUUGUUUUUAAUAGAGAUGUAGUCUGGCUCUAUGUUGCCUAGCCAGGUCUCCAAAUUCUGGCCUCAUGCCAUCUUCCCAUCUGCUCCUCCCAAAAUGCUCAGAUUAUAGGCAUGAGUCACCUUGCACAAGAGGUAAGGACCCCACAUCAGGACCUCAGGUUAUUUUGGAAAUACAAAUACAUAAGACCCACAAACAGGCCCAUUGGCUGCAGAGAGUGGGGCCAUUUAAAGAAGUUUUCUUUGAUCUGAAUACCGACUUCUCACUUAAGUCGCUGGGAUCCCGGACUACGGCACAGCUCCAGGCAGGCCUGCUUAUCCUGCUUAAGGUGGCAAUCCUCUUAAGCCUAGCGAAAUUCAUCUGGCCGUAUCUCAAUGAUGUUGCACUGAGAUUCUGACAGUCAACGUGUGUCACUUCAGUCUCCUGAGACCAACAGCUAUCUCCAGAUUCAGGGAGGUCAGUGCACACAUAAAUGGACUAGCUUUAUUAAAGAGGAUAUCUGGACCAGGCAUGGUAACUCACGCCUAUAAUCCCAGCACUUUGUGAGGCCAAGGCAGCCAGAUCAUCCGAGGUCUAGAAUUCAAGACCAGCCUGGUCAACAUGGUGAAACCCCGUUGCUACUAAAAAUACCAAAAAAAAAAAAAAAAAAAAAAAUUAGCCAGGCAUGGUGGCACAUGCCUGUAGUCCCAGCUACUCAGGAGGCUUAGACAUGAGAAUUGCUUUAAUCUGCGAGACGGAGUUGCAGUGAGCCAAGAUUGUGCCACUGUACUCCAGCCUGGGAGACAAAGCAAGACUCCGUCUCAAAAAAUAUAAAAAUAAAAGGGAUAUCUGAACUGGUGGGGAGACGGCAGGAUAGCAUUCAAGUGGGGUUGAAUUGGCCCAGUUGUAUCUGGCUUCUCACUUGUGGUUCCCAAGAAUGAAUGUAGAAUGUACUGGAAAUGCAGCAUCCUGAGAGGAAAGAACCAGCCAGAAAAAAGGACGGGAUGUGUUCCAGAGCCCCAGAACAGGAUGUCCUUUGAUGCUUUAGGCCAAGGUGCCAUGCAUCCUUGGAGCACGAAACCCAGGAUGGGCUGCCCUUCAGGGCCCCUCAGCUGUGAUGCAAGUGCAGCACACAGAGAGACUGCAUCUGCACUGGGGGGAUUUCCUGAGCCUUGGGGAGCAGCAUGCACGAUCCCAGGCAUCUGCCCAUCUGUACGGAACAAAUCCACUUCAUGUCACUUACUGUGUGUGUGUGAGGUUAUCUCUCUCUCAACUCAGACACGGUGGCAACCAGUGUGCGGUGAACCUGCUUCACAAGCAAGGUUGUGGAGAAACUGUAUCUUUGUAUAUUUGUUAAGAAUCUAAAAUACUGCAGUCCGUAUGGAAAACAGUAGCAUGGAAAAUUUGUAACAGGGUAACAGGCAAAGGCUGGAACAGUUCGGAGGGCUCAAAAGAAGACAGGAAGACAUGGGAAAGUUUGGAGCUUCCUAAAGAAUGGCUGCUGAAUGAGCACAAAGUCCACACUGAGGUUCUCAGACGGAGAUAAGGAGCUUUACUGGGAACUGGAGUCGAAGUGGGCUGUAGAAGAAGUGCAGGGGUGCAGCCCUCAAGGAGAACCUCUGCUGGAGCAGUGCAUAAGGAAAGUGUGAGGUUGGAGCCCCCCCAGACUCCUCACUGGGGCACUGCCUAGUGGAGCUGUGAGAAGAGGGCCACCCUCCCCAGACCCCAGAAUGAUAGAUUCACCAACAGCUUGCACUGCGUGCCUAGAAAAGUAGCAAACACUCAACACCAGCCUGUGAAAGCAGCCAGGAGAGGAGCUGCUACCUGCAGUCGCAGGGAGGAUCUGUCCAAGACCAUGGGAACCCACCUCUUGCAUCAGCGUGACCUGGAUGUGAGAAAUGGAGUCAAAAGAGAUCAUUUCAGAGCUUUAAGAUUUACUGCCCCGCUGGAUUUCGGGCUUGCAUGGGAACCCCUGUUUUAGCCAAUUUUUCCCAUUUGGAAUAGGCUUUACCCAAUGCCUGUGGCUGUACUGUACCCAGGAAAUAACUGACUUGCUUUUCAUUUUACAGGUUCAUAAGCAGAAGAGACUUGCUUGUCUCAAAUAAACUCUGGACUGUGGACCUUUGAGUUAAUGCUGAAAUAAGACUUUGCGGGACCGUUGGGAAGGAAUGACUGGUUUUGAAAUAUGAUGCCAUGAGAUUAGAAGGACCAGAGGUGAAAUGAUAUGGUUUGACUGUGUCCCCACCAAAUCUCAUCUUGAACUGUAGCUCUCAUAAUCCCCACGUUGUGGGAGGGACCUGGUGGGAGGUAACUGAAUCAUGGGAGUGGGUUUUUCCCGUGCUGUUCUCAUGACAGUGAAUAAAUCUCAUGAGAUCCAUGGUUUUAUAAAGGGCAGUUGCCCUGCACAGGCCCUCUCUUGCUUGCCGCCAUGGAAGACAUGCGUUUGCUCCUUCGCCUUCCGCCAUGAUUGUGAGGCCUCUCCAGUCCUGUGGAACUGCGAGUCCAUUAACCUCUUUUCUUUAUAAAUUACUCCGUCUUGGGUAUGUGUGUAUUAGCAGCAUGAGAACAGACUAAUAAAACAUCCCAAACUACA